rnacentral:tRNA from 1 species
GGCGGCGUAGCCAAGCGGUAAGGCAGGAGCCUGCAAAGCUCUGACCCCCGGUUCGAAUCCGGGCGCCGCCUCCA